AACGAACGUUGGCGGCAUGGAUUAGGCAUGCAAGUCGAGGGAAUCCCAGCAAUGGGGGAACCGGCGUAAGGGGCAGUAAGGCAUGGGUACCUACCCCGGGGUUCGGAAUAGCCACCAGAGAUGGUGGGUAAUACCGGAUGACCUCGUGAGAGCAAAGAUUUAUCGCCCUGGGAGGGGCCCAUGUGAUAUUAGCUAGUUGGUGAGGUAACGGCUCACCAAGGCGAAGAUGUCUAGCGGGUGUGAGAGCACGACCCGCGCCGCUCGCACUGAGACACUGGCGAGACACCUACGGGUGGCUGCAGUCGAGGAUCUUCGGCAAUGGGCGAAAGCCUGACCGAGUGAUGCCGCGUGCGCGAUGAAGGCCUUCGGGUUGUAAAGCGCGAAAGAGGGGAGAAAACCCGAAAGGGUUGAUCUAUCCUCAGUAAGCUCGGGCUAAGUUCGUGCCAGCCGCCGCGGUAAAAC
rnacentral:rRNA from 1 species